rnacentral:SRP_RNA from 1 species
GCUGGGCGUAGUGGCGUGCGCCUGUAGUCCCAGCUACUCAGGAGGCUGAGGCAGGAGAAUCACUUGAACCCAGGAGGCAGUGGUUGCAGUGAGCUGAGAUCGCGCCACUGCAUUCCAGCCUGGGUGACAGAGCGAGAUUCCAUCUCAA